UGAACGCUGGCGGCGUGCCUAAUACAUGCAAGUCGAGCGAACAGACGAGGAGCUUGCUCCUCUGACGUUAGCGGCGGACGGGUGAGUAACACGUGGAUAACCUACCUAUAAGACUGGGAUAACUUCGGGAAACCGGAGCUAAUACCGUAUAACAUGUUGAACCGCAUGGUUCAACAGUGAAAGACGGUCUUGCUGUCACUUAUAGAUGGAUCCGCGCCGCAUUAGCUAGUUGGUAAGGUAACGGCUUACCAAGGCAACGAUGCGUAGCCGACCUGAGAGGGUGAUCGGCCACACUGGAACUGAGACACGGUCCAGACUCCUACGGGAGGCAGCAGUAGGGAAUCUUCCGCAAUGGGCGAAAGCCUGACGGAGCAACGCCGCGUGAGUGAAGAAGGUCUUCGGAUCGUAAAACUCUGUUAUUAGGGAAGAACAAAUGUGUAAGUAACUAUGCACGUCUUGACGGUACCUAAUCAGAAAGCCACGGCUAACUACGUG
rnacentral:rRNA from 1 species